rnacentral:snRNA from 1 species
AUCCUUUGAUCGCCGACGGACUGGAUAAGAUCAAAGUUUAUUUUCUGUUCUUAUCGAAUUAACCUUCGAUAGAGGUUCGAACGAAUCUCGUUAAGGUUACUUGAUCCCUGUGUCCGGAUGGGUUCUGCGGGCUUGCUCGCAACCCAUCACGGGUCAGCCCAGCAUUGCACCGCUGCUAGGAACGGCCCACCCCAA